AUGAGUGGCAGACAUUUAGAGCAAAGGCUUAGUAUCGAAUUUUGUGUGAAGUUCAACAAAUCUACAGGCCAGCGGUGGAAUUCAUCAUCCAGGAGCCUCCCACCCAAGAUCACUCAGGAUUGGUUAUCACCAUGGAAUCAGUUAAAUAAUCUGGACCUCACACUUUCAUCCUUUACAUCCCUGUUCAACAUCAACAACUCCCAACUCCUGAGACCCUUCCCACAAACCAUCCUGUUCCCAGGGUCAAAUUGCCAGUGGAUCUGCUUCAAUUCCUUGACUCAGGAUCGCCAUAUUAGCAACUCCCGUGACAUCUCAAAACAGGAGAACUGUCAGUUGGAAAUCACUGACUCAGCAGGUAGCCAUUGCAGCCCCUGCCAAAGCCUGAGGGCUGUCCUAUCUGCCUAAAGGAAUAAGCAGGCAAUGCAGGUGUUUCUGAGGAAAAGGUAAUUGAGAUAAUCUGCCACAUUGCCUUCAUGAUAUGUCUCAUAGACCUAGUUUCAGGGAUGCAAUUUCCUUUUAAAUAAAUGUUUCCCACCUGAUCUAAAACUGACUCGU
rnacentral:lncRNA from 1 species